UACGUAGGGUGCAAGCGUUGUCCGGAAUUAUUGGGCGUAAAGAGCUCGUAGGCGGUUCGUCGCGUCGGCUGUGAAAAUCCGGGGCUCAACCCCGGACUUGCAGUGGGUACGGGCAGACUAGAGUGUGGUAGGGGAGACUGGAAUUCCUGGUGUAGCGGUGAAAUGCGCAGAUAUCAGGAGGAACACCGAUGGCGAAGGCAGGUCUCUGGGCCGAUACUGACGCUGAGAGACGAAAGCUAGGGGGAGCGAAACGGG
rnacentral:rRNA from 1 species